rnacentral:rRNA from 1 species
CCCUUAGAUGUUCUGGGCUGCACGCGUGCUACACUGAUAUUGCCAAUAUGUCAUUCUUAUCCGAAAUGAAUUGGGUAAUCAAGUAAUGAAAUUUCAUGCUUGGAAUCGGUAAUUGCAAUUUUAUCGUGAACGAGGAAUUCCUAGUAAGCACUAGUCAUCAGCUAAUGUUGAUUAUGUCCCUGCCCUUUGUACACACCGCCCGUCGCUACUACUGAUUGGGUGUUCAAGUGAGAUGCUUAGACCCUUGUUGCAUGGUUCAUUAUUGUGCUCCGAAAGGAAAAAGUUUCAAGCUUGAGUGUCUAGAGGAAGUAAAAGUCGUAACA